ensembl:lncRNA
UGCUGUGUAUUUUUGCUUUCUAUUGACGCUGUAAUUUUAUUGACCGUUAUGAAAACAAUGCCGACGGAGCCGCGUUUGUACGCUACCCCGAAUUUCGAAGCGAGAAACCUAUCCGAGCGUCCCAUUACCUGCUGGGCAAAGGGAGCGGAGCGCAGCGCGCAGCAACCCGCCCACCUUUGUGCUGACCCCAUCCCCGCGCAGGGCACGGACAGACAGACAGACAAAAACUACUUUCCCUUUUACUAUUAUUACUAUUAUUAUUAUUAUUAUUAAUUAUUUUUUCCCCCCACCAGAGCCCAUUUGAAGCCCAGCUUGCAGCGCGGGGCCGCGCUUUGUUGCAGCCCCCGGGGGCGGUACGGCGCUAUUGUCUGCGCGCUGCCGCGGGGCGAUGCGCGGCUGCGGAGGGGGCGAUGCGCGGAGCUGCGGCAAAACAAUGGCCGGGGGGGGGCUGAGGAAAAGGGGGAGCACCGAGGAAGGGAGGGGGGCACCGAGGAGGAGGAGGAGUGGGGGGUGGGGGGGCUCUCCGUGCUGCAGAGGCAGCGCCCGCUCCCCUCCCCGCCGGGCGCGCAGCGCUCAGCUCCGGCGCAGUGAAGAACAUAAUUGGGAGCGGGUUCAAUCACUACCAGUCUAGACUCGCCCAGACACAUCAAUUAGAGGGGCUGGCGGCUUAAAGGGACAGCGCGGCUGCUCCGGGCCUUGCUGCUGCAAGGGGAAAAAAUAAUACGAUCGGGGUAACCGAGAGUAAAGAAACCAUACGGUGAUAAAACAGGGAGGGAGAUCACGAAGCCGGACCCCGUCCUUUGCUUUUCCAGGCAGAACGAGUGAGACGGAAGGCGUUUUCUCUCCCCUCGGCCCCCAGCGCAGGUUCCGCGGGGCGCUGCGCCAAUGUCAGCGUUCCCCGAACGGAGCUGCGGUAUUAAUAGCCGACGGGAGGGAGUGCUGGGCAGGGAGCUGCGCUUCAGCGCUGCGCUUCUGCGGCGUUCUUUGCCUUCUGCAGACAAAAGGAGGGAUGUUGUGUUCGGGGUUCGCUUUGGCGUGGUGUCCGUAGCGGUAAAGGCAGAGCUCGUCUCAGCCUGACACCGUUCCUUCAGUGCUGGUUUCAUUCCGGUGCGUUUUAACCAGAAUGAAAGCAAGCUGUGGGCAAAAAGCAGUUUUGUGUUUGAAAAGGAAAAUGGCAGAGAAAAAUAAGUGUUGGGCGUGAGUUGAAUUAACAGAGAGAAGGAAUCGGGCUCGGUGCGGAUCGAAGGUCGUAUUCAGCUCUACAAAAUGCCAGGCUGGGGCUCGUUGCAGUUAGGGAUAUAUGGAAUAUGGCAUCCUGACAUUUAAUUUAACACAUUCCCAAGUAUUCUGUGCAACGCGUCCUGCAGAUAAUUAAAGGGAGACACGGAGGACAAAGUAACGUCUGUCUUUGUGGAAUAUUGCACUUAGAAAAAAAUAAAACAACCCUCCGGUUUUGCACAGCUCCGAUAUGUGGGAGUUCUGUCUGAGCAGCAGCUGGAGCAUCCAGCUCUGGGAGUCUGACCUCCUUGCAGCUGAGUUGGAACUCGCUUUCCCAAGUUGAAAGGCGCUCGGGUUUGGUGGCUGUAAAAAGACAUAGAGGAUAAAAAUAAUCCAAGGCUUUCUGCACCUUUCUUCCAUCGCUGCCCUUUUGCUUUAACGUGAGGCUGCAUGGCCUCGUGGCUCCAAACCUGGAGGAAACUCUGUCUUUUCCUUCUGAAUCAUUUCCAAAGCGCAUAAGGAUUUUUUUGGGCCAGCCACCAAAUUGUAGCUGAGAUCCUAUAGCUGAGCGUAGCGACCAGUGCUGAUUAGAUGAUCGAUUAAUUUCUAAUUGAUUUCUAAUUCAAAACUUCAUUCUCCUUAUAAAUCUUUGUUGCUAUGAAGGCGCAGCUUAGGAGGAAAUCUGACUGCAGCCUCAAAGUCAUCUCGAGGCAGCCGAGCGCUCGCUGCAAAUGGCAGAAUUCUGCACCUCUUGCUGUCAGUGCUGUUAACUCUUUCAUUUCUCAGUGCUUUAACGUGAUGAAAUGUUUAUUCAUAAUCCGUUUGCGCACAGCCCCGGUAGGAACAGAAGGCAGAGUAUCAGGUAAACGCUCACCUGCUCCUCAGCUGCCAAAUGCGUUGGGCGCUUUAAUGGCCGCUUUCCUUUUGUGCUGCCCUAUUUUUUAAUUAUUAUUUUGGGUUUUUUUUUUUCUUUCCUGGGAGCAGAGCGGAGCGCGGCUGUGAGGUGGAGCAGCUGGCGGGGCUGUGGGUUCCUGCUGGCACCGUGCAGCUCUGCUCACCCACUGCCAACUGCACAGCGCUGCUGCCCGGCCCCGUUCCCAGCGCUCGGAAGGAAAGAGCAUCCCGGUUCUUCUUCACUCUUGGGAACACACACAUUGUUUCAAUAAUCCAGGCAAUAAAUGCUAAUUAGUAAUGCUUAAGGACCCUACCAGUCAGAGUCAUUACCAUAAUCUACCUCUUCCUUGUUAAAAACGCUCCUUGCUGCUUUAAAAUUUUGCCAGGCGAUGCUUUCUUUGCUCUUCCUUUGGAAAGCUCUCCCCGUUGUGUUAGCAAUGAGUGCAGCCCCGCUGCAGCACCGAGACAUUCUGUGGAGGCAAAGCAUGCUCUGCGUGUGGCAAAGGGGACCGGAGCUCGAGAGAAGUGCAUGGAGGUUUUCCCACAUGUCAGAUUUUCUUCUGAAGCAGAUAUUUUUGCUUUGCGUCCUUCUCUGCACCCUCCCCUCCCCAGCACCACCAAAACCCACUUACAGGGGGAGAACAAAGGAAAUCACGAACUAUAAAGGCAUCAUUAAGUGUGAGCAGCAACGGCGAGAUAGCGUGUGUGAUAUGACAACAUAUUUCACGGCACAAAAGUAGAGAUAAUUAAAUAAUUCAGCGGUAUUCUUAGCUAAUUAGCACGGAGAUCUUUCAGAAGCCAUCAGGAAAAUGGAUCUCAUCAAAUCUAAUAAUACGCUACAUUUCCCCACGAUGCUGUGUUUUCCAGCCUUGCUGCUCCUCCACCACCCCAUGCAGUAACACAAAAGGUUACAAAUAGUUGCACGUUUAAUUGGGCUGUUUUUCAGGAUCGUCUUUUCUGCACAAAAUGAUUCUCUCUUUAGAGGAGGGGGGGGAUAUAUAUGCGGCUGGAAUCUUCAAUGUUAGCCAAUAAAAAAGAAAAAUAAUAACAACAGUAGCUUCAUAAAAGCUGAAUGUGUUAAAAACGGUCCUUUAUUAUCAGCUAGGAGCCAUUUUGGGCUGGUUGCAAUGGGGCUGACUCACUUUGAGUUGGGCUCGGUGAAUUAACGCUGCUGUCCGAGAUCUUUUUAUAGAGUUAAUUGGGGACGUGGAUUGCCUGCUCUCUGAUUUUCCUGCCAUCGAGCAGCACGUGGCAGAGCUGGGGUGGGGCCUGUGCCCUCUGCUCUGCGUGCUCUGCUCUGAUAUCAAGGCCCGUGGUACCAGCUGGGCAGAACGCAGUGCUCAUUGCUUCGGGUGUCUGGCAGCAUGGCUGUAGUUACGUGCCAUGCCAACGCUCCCUCCCCUGGCUGCACGAGCUGUGCAGCAGCAAGCAGUGGCUGUGUGUGCUCACGAGCCCCAGCUGGCAGCCUGCAGGUGUGCAGGGCAGCACGACGGGUACCUGCAGGGUGCUGGCAGUGCUGCUGAUCCCACGGCACGCUCCCAGGAAUCCGGUGCAUCAGAUGUUAGUCGGAGCAUCUCGUUAAGCACUGGUUCCGGCCUUUGCUCCGGUCCCAAACUGAGUGAUGGACUCUGGUGUUACAACCAUGCACGGUGCUGCUGGGGUGAGGUGCUCCGCCUCACUGUUACUCCUUUGCACGUGCAAGGAGGCUUUUCCUCCUCUGCAAUGAUGGAGACUGUUUCUUGUAGGGUGGGCGGAAGGAGUAUGAGGAGAAAAGGCAGCAGAAGGAAAUCAGCACACCUGCAGCAGUGCAGUAACUGCUGUCUGCAGGGUUGCAGUGCUUCACAGUGUACUUUCUUCUCCUAGGGGGGGGGUUCAGGUUGUGAGUAAGGUUACUGAAAUGCCAUGGGACCCUCUUAGGUCCCCCAGAUGUAAUUAUGAACAUGUUAUUUCUGUUAGCAAGUCACACAAAUUUUCCCCCAUUGUUUUGAGUUCCUUUUCUCUUGUGCCCUUCACCCAACUCUGUUAACUGUGUUACUAUCUGAGGACGUUACAGCCAAUUAAAAUUACACGUGUAUAUAUAUAUUCAAGAUGAAAGUUGAGUCUCUGAAUCACAAGGCAGGCCAAGCGGAAGGCUCAGACCGCGUGCUGCAGUUGUUGCUGUUGAGCAGCUCUUCCCAUCCAGCAGCCAAUGUCCCUCCGAUCCCCCGGGGCUGUGGUGCCCAGCACAGAACCCUUCAUUCCCAGUGCUCCUGCGUGCUGGGACCUCCAGCAGUGUCCCAACAGAGCGGGCUGAUGGAUGGGACACUGUAUCUCAAGUGUAUGUUCUUUGUAUCCUUAUGCAGUCUGGAUGGCGGGUGGUGGUCAGGAGGAGGGAGGGCGUAUAAGGGUGAGCGUAGGCUUUGCUGUGUAAUGUGUGCUUCUGUCCUUCAAGUAAGGCACAGCAUCCAGCAGCAAACGUCCCAGGAUGGUUUGUGCCACUUGUGGGCUCCGAGGGGUGGAUGGGCUCUGGCAAAACGUGCACGGACUGUCAGAGUGCUGCUGCUCAUCCCAAAUCCAACGUGCUGAGCCCACCUGGGCUGUGCGUGCUGUUGUGUGACUGCGGAAGAUGGGGCACAAAGGGCUCCUUGGGUGCUCUGUAUGGCACAGCAAAGGACGAGCCAAGCCAGCACCCGAGAGGUCCCCAGCAGCUCCUGCAAGGCGCUGAACGACGUCUGCUGCUCCCCAAAGGCUGAAAGCACUCCCGGCCAUCACACGCCGCUCUCUUCGCUGCCGACGCCGCUUUUAAGAUGAAUGAUGUGAGAAAUGCUGCAAAGCAUCAGAGGUCGAGGAGCUGCCUCAGUGCACCGACACCGUUCUGCGUGGAGGCUGCGGCUCAGCUGAGCGCCCCUCCGGGGAGAGAGAGAAGUGGGGAAAAACGACAACCAGAAAAGAUUGGUGGACUUUGGUUUUCGUAUGCACCUGUGUUUGUAUCAUGCCUGAACCUGCAAAGAGUAACACGUGGUUAUUCGCAUGGAAUCCAGUAAAUGGUGAACCUGUAAAUCAGUGACCCGAAGUGUGCUUGUCUCAUUUGAUCCCCUCUCCCUUCCCCCAGGGCUCCCCCUUUGGAGCACCUGGAUGGAGUGCUUGGGGCUG